CCCCUAGAUGUUCUGGGCCGCACGCGCGCUACACUGAACAGUUCAACAAGUCUUAACCUUGGCCGAUAGGUCUGGGUAAUCUUUGAACGCUGUUCGUGAUUGGGAUAGACCUUUGCAAUUAUGGGUCUUCAACGAGGAAUUCCUAGUAAACGCAAGUCAUCAGCUUGCAUUGAUUACGUCCCUGCCCUUUGUACACACCGCCCGUCGCACCUACCGAUUGAAUGGUCCGGUGAAAUCUCGGGACGGCGGCUUGGUCGCUUGCGUCCGACUGCUGAAACUUGAUUAAACCACAUCAUUUAGAGGAAGGUGAANUCGUAACA
rnacentral:rRNA from 1 species